rnacentral:rRNA from 1 species
UGGGAACGUACCUUUCAGUUCGGAACAACCAAGGGAAACUUUGGCUAAUACCGAAUACGCCCGUAAGGGGAAAGAUUUAUCGCUGAAAGAUCGGCCCGCGUCUGAUUAGCUAGUUGGUGGGGUAAUGGCCCACCAAGGCGACGAUCAGUAGCUGGUCUGAGAGGAUGAUCAGCCUCACUGGGACUGAGACACGGCCCAGACUCCUACGGGAGGUAG